CUCUUCCUAAGCCGGCGCUCGGCAAGGUAGGUUGGCGGCCUGCUCUCCGACGGAACUUUUCUUCUUGGGUUGAGGAAAACGCCUUUUGGAGUCAGGCCCUGGAGCGGCGGGCCUUGCUCACAGGGUGGGGAUACAGCCGAUUACCCGCCCUGUGCUUUCCGAUGGCUUCUGCGGGGCGAGCGGGGCCUGGCCGGGGGGUGCGGGCGGGAGGGCGAGCCAGCGGCGCCUGCAGCCCGGGCCGCGUAACGCUGACCGCUGUCCCCUCAGUUCUCCCAGGAGAAAGCCAUGUUCAGUUCGAGCGCCAAGAUUGUGAAGCCCAAUGGCGAGAAGCCGGACGAGUUCGAGUCCGGCAUCUCCCAGGCUCUUCUGGAGCUGGAGAUGAACUCGGACCUCAAGGCUCAGCUCAGGGAGCUGAAUAUUACGGCAGCUAAGGAAAUUGAAGUUGGUGGUGGUCGGAAAGCUAUCAUAAUCUUUGUUCCCGUUCCUCAACUGAAAUCUUUCCAGAAAAUCCAAGUCCGGCUAGUACGCGAAUUGGAGAAAAAGUUCAGUGGGAAGCAUGUCGUCUUUAUCGCUCAGAGGAGAAUUCUGCCUAAGCCAACUCGAAAAAGCCGUACAAAAAAUAAGCAAAAGCGUCCCAGGAGCCGUACUCUGACAGCUGUGCACGAUGCCAUCCUUGAGGACUUGGUCUUCCCAAGCGAAAUUGUGGGCAAGAGAAUCCGCGUCAAACUAGAUGGCAGCCGGCUCAUAAAGGUUCAUUUGGACAAAGCACAGCAGAACAAUGUGGAACACAAGGUUGAAACUUUUUCUGGUGUCUAUAAGAAGCUCACGGGCAAGGAUGUUAAUUUUGAAUUCCCAGAGUUUCAAUUGUAAACAAAAAUGACUAAAUAAAAAGUAUAUAUUCACAGUA
rnacentral:sRNA from 1 species